AUGCCGGUGGUCUUGGCCAUCGCCUCGAGGCACUGCCGGUCGGAUGAGGAGGCGAUCUCGCGGAGAACGACGACGGCGCUGACCCGCGCUAGGAGCUCGCUGUGGGAGAGGAUAGACACGACGGAUUCCAGCGCCGCCGGGGAGGCAAUGUGGCGCCUGGACUCCUCGUCAAGAGGCAAGAACACGACCAUCGCCGCCAGGAUCUCCUCUAGGGCCGUCGCUGGCACCACCCGCUGGCCGGCAAGAUGGCAGUACGUCGACGAGAGCGCGCGGGCGGCGCUGGCGGACACGAAGCACCGGCGGUUGCGCUCGCUCUCCUUCCCGAGCGCCCUGGCCCUCGCGACCAGCUCCCGGCACCUCGGCCCGUCGCCGCGCCUCGCGGCCGCGCAUACCGCCUCCAGAAGCUCGGACGCGUCGAAAGCGGAGACCGGGACGCGGGGCGUGGGCACGCGCUCUACCCCGAGCCCCCGGUUGGCGACGCACCACUCCUGGAUCACCCUCCUCGUGGCGUGGUUAGGGACGAGCUCCUCCAGCCGCAGCGGCCGGCCGGUCACGGGGCACGUGGCGUGGCCGCGCUCCAGCCAUCCCUCCACGCUCUCCCGGUCGUACGUGAUCCCCGUCGGCGCCGUCACGGGGUCCCGCAUCAUGUCGAGCGAUAUCGGGCACAAGAAGUGGGUCGGCACGGCAGGCUCCGAAUCGGCGGCGGCGACCAACAUCGGCUGCUGCCACGUCCGCCUCACGGCGAGCGGUAUCUCGGCCGGCGCGCCUCGCGCCGCGCCGCGGAACGCGCGAGCGCGGAAGCGGGGCAGCGGCGUGACCAUCGACGGUAGAAGAAAGCGGCGAUCGAGCUGGCGUGAUAUCAGGCGCUGGGCCGGAGCCGAUCGACGACGAGAAUGGCGGCUGACGACCGAUGAUUGCCUUUUGGAUGGGGUGAGGUGA
rnacentral:rRNA from 1 species